rnacentral:miRNA from 1 species
GAAGGAAGAAAGGAAGGCA